rnacentral:lncRNA from 1 species
AGCUCGGUGACCUCACGGGGAUGACUUCACAUCCGGGACCUUCUGGGAAUUUUCAGCCGCACUUUUUCGUAAGAAAACUAACGGGGGAGGCGGUAGGGGAGAAGUAGGAGGCUGCGUCGAGGGAGGGGCGGAGCUCCUGGAGGCUGGAGGGAGGGAACGGCCGCGCUGAGCCAGCUUCCUCCUUCUGAUCCGGAAUGCAGAUGAUGGACGGAACCGAUGAAAAAGAAACUGCCCACAAUCUCAGCAGAUGCCUUUUCUUCUUGGUCCUUUCCUCACGUGUGCAAAAGGGCCUGGAAAACCUCCUUCUGGCGAGACACCUGCCCUGAAGGGAUGUCCACUCUGCUGCAGUAUCGUAUCAGCCCUCUUCCACUGGGACGGCCUGAGCCCUGCAGAGGCUCGGUCUCGAAGACGUGUCUGUCUGUCUGUCUUUCCCCAGCCUGGACCUGGCUAACCUGAAGGUGCUGCUCCUGGGAAACUUCUGGCCUGGCUGGGGGUUGGGACAUGAACAUCCAGGUGCAGGACCGUGCCUUGUCCUUAGUUGUGGGAUCUGUGACCUCUGACCCCUGCUUCUCGGCCAACUCACUCAUUGGGCACGUCUCGAACAACCAGCGGAUGGUCUGCACAUCACCCUUGAGGGGUGCCUCAGGCUGAGGGCCUCCCGGAGGCAUUCCUUCCUCUUCCUGUCGUUCCUGCUGCUCCCGUUGGUGGAUUACCUCCAGGGGCUGAGUCUCAAAGAGCCACCGGGCAGUGCCCACAUCUCCAGCCACCACUUCCUCCCGGGUGAUGCCCCGCACCACGUCGACGGUACUGGGGUUUCGACCUAGUUGGUCUAGGGGCUGUGUCUCAAACAUCCACCUGUAGCCCUGCACAUCACCUCCCACGACCUGCUCUCUGCUGACGGAUGUCAGGGCAUGAAGGUGGCCUUUGCCAUCCUGCAGGGCGUACACUGGGGACCCUAUGUCUUGGGACUGCUCAGCAGAAUCAGUUCCUUCUGCUCUGCUUACAUUCCCAUGGGCCAAAGCUUCACCCUGCCUGAUGCUAUCCAGGGGAAGGGUCUCGAAAAGAUUCUUGAAGGUCUUUACAUCCCCCUUCACCACAUCCCCCUGGGGCGCACACUGAGAGAGGGACAGCGCUGAGGAGC